GUCACUUUAGCUCAGUUGGGAGAGCGCACGACUGAAGUUCUUUUAUUCGCUUUCGUGCGGUCGCUUGUUCGAUCCAGGCAAGUGACA